rnacentral:tRNA from 1 species
GAGAGAUGGCUGAGUGGUUGAAAGCACCGGUCUUGAAAACCGGCAGCGUGCGAGCGCUCGCGGGUUCGAAUCCCGCUCUCUCC